UGUAUUGUUGUGAUUUUAUUGUUUUUCUUUGUAAUGUUGUUAUUCGAUUGAUGUUUUUUCCAGUUUUCUGCAUUUUAAUGAUUGUCUAUAGUUUUAUAAAAUUUGACAUUCAAUUAAUGCUCAUGUAUGUUAUAUUAUAUGUACAUUUACGUUAACAUAGGUGUAAUUACUGUAAUUUACAUUUAUCUAUGUAAUCAUAAAUGUUCAUUUAUAUGUUUUAUUAUCAUUUUGAUAUAUGUUCAUUUAUGUAAUGAUAAAUGAUCAUUAACAGUUUACAUGUGGUUAUUGUACAUUAUUGCUAUUAUUUGUGUUCAUUUGUUACAUUUUAAUAUUGCAGUGGAAAAAAAGAAUGCUAUUUUAUUUGAGGAAGCAGCUAGUUCUGAAUUUUAUGGGAAACAAUUUCCUUCUGAAGAUGUGGCUUAUGAAAUGUUUAAUGAAUAUGCAUUUAGAAAGGGCUUUGGAAUUAGAAUUGGAAAAAGUAAGAGGCGAAGAGAUGAUUCAUUCUCUAUGAAAAGAUUUGUUUGUACAAAUGAGGGUUUUAAAGAUGAUAAGUGCAGGAAUAAUAGGUUGUAUGAGAGACUUAACAUAAGGAUUGGUUGCUUAGCUUUUGUGCAGUUUAGUAUUGACCGUUCAGGUGUAUAUACAUGUACAAGACAUGAGAUGGUUCAUAAUCAUGAAAUGAUUCCUGUUGACAAGAGACAUUUAAUAAGGUCUCAAAGGGAUAUUUCUAAGGAACAUAUUAAUUUCAUUUCUACACUUAGAUUGAGUGGAGUUAAAGUUUCUGAUUCUUUGAGAGCUUUGAAGAAGGAGGUUGGAGGGUCUCCUAACCUUUGUUUUACAGCUCCUGAUGCUUAUAAUGCUAUUUCUGUUGAAAAGACAGCUAAACUUGGGGGAGGUGACAGCAAUCAACUAAUCAAUUUUUUUGCUAAGAGACAAAUUGAUGAAGCAGAUUUCUAUUAUGAUUUUGAACAAGAUGAAAAUGGUGCAUUGGUUAAUUUCUUUUGGAGAGAUGGAAGGAUGAUGAGAGAUUAUCAUUACUUUGGUGAUUUGUUAGUUUUUGAUACUACUUAUAGGACUAACAAACAUGGUAUGAUUUGUGCUCCAUUUGUGGGUAUGAAUCAUCAUGCAAAUAAUGUGAUGUUUGGCAUGGGAUUUAUACUUAAUGAAAGAACAGAAUCAUUUGAGUGGUUAUUUAAUACUUUUCUAACUUCUAUGGGAAGGAGAAGUCCUAUUACUAUUAUGACUGAUCAAGCUCAAGCAAUUGCAGCUAGGAUAAGAAAUAUUUUCCCCAAAGGUGUUCAUCAUAGAUUAUGUGUGUGGCAUAUUGAACAAAAUUCUAAGAAACACAUUGGGGCGUUGAGAGCUUUGGAUGGUUUCACUGAUUUAUUUGGUUAUUUACUGAAGUAUUGUGAAACUCCACCAGAAUUUGAGCAUUAUUGGAAAAGAAUGUUGUUGAAAUAUGACUGUGCAAAUGUUGAUUGGUUGAAUGAUUUGUAUAAAAUCAAAGAGAUGUGGUGUCCAGCUUUUUCAAAGAAAUUUUGGUCAGGAGGUGUGCUUUCAUCUCAACGUAGUGAGACAACUAACAAAUCAGUUUCUCAAAGGCUUAACAAGACACAAGGUCUAUGUGAUUUCUAUCAAGUGUUUCUCGAUGUGGUUCAAGAGUGGAGAAGCAAAGAAAAAGGGAGAGAUUAUAAUACAAUCAGAGGUAAUCGUCAUUUGGCCUUUGCAUACAUUGGGAUUCUUGUUCAUGCUAGAUCAUUGUAUACUAUUCAAGCUUAUGUGCUUUUUGAGGAAGAGUUCAUUAAGGGUACUGCUUGUGAUCAUAAGGAUGCUGGUGUGAAUUUUCCUGAAUAUUAUUAUCAUUUGUGGAGACCUGGGAAAGAUAUGAUCAAGCACGAGGUUGUUUUUAAUAAAGAAACACAUGCAAUAUGUUGUACAUGCAUGUUGUUUAGUGAAAUGGGUUUGCUUUGUUGUCAUGCUCUUUGAAUUUAUCAUAAGAAUUGUGUUCAUAAGAUUCCAGAUGGCUAUAUAUGUAAGAGGUGGACUAAGGCUGCUAUGUGUAGUCAUGGCCUUGAUGAACCUACAAUGAAAACCAAUGUAGUAUCUACAAGUGUUUGGAGGACACAAACACUAAGGAAAUUUGUUAAGUUGGUAACAAGUUGUCAACACUCUUUGAAUGCUAGAGCAGAGGUUGAAUGUUAUUUCAAUCUUUUAAAAUAAAAGAUUGAGAGUGUUACUGGUACUAUUGAUUUUAAUGAACCGGUUGAAGGUAUUGAAAUUGUUGAUCAUGAAGUUAAGAAUCCGGCAAAAUCAAGACCUAUUGGAGAGAGGAAUUAUAGGCCUAAGAGUAAUUUAGAGAAGGCUUAUAACAAAGCCAGGGGUCAGUGGUUGAAGAAAAAGUCAGUAUACACUCCUUAUAAAAGAUCUAAAGGUCAAGCAGUAGUUCAGGUAAUAAUGCACAUUUAUGUUUUUGUUAUUGAUCAUUUAUGUUCAAGAAUUGAACAUUUUUGUUUUGCCUUAGGAAUUGGACGAGAAUGGGUGUCCUAUAUCUUAUGCUAAUUCUUUGGCUGAUCCUAAUGAGUUAAUUGUGAUUGAAGAUCCAAGUGCUCAGGAAUAUGGAUAUAGCUCUAUGCAAUCAAACGUUACUGUUGAUCCAGACAUAUCUUCUAUUGUUAAGGGUAAAACAGCUGCAAUUGCUCAUGAUGUUGAUAAUUUUCCAACAAGUUCUUAAUUGCCACCAAAGAAACCAAGAAAUGUACAAUUUCCCACAGUUGUGCAUGCUCAAAUCAAUGCUCAAGCUCCUUCUAAAG